GACGAACGCUGGCGGCGUGCCUAACACAUGCAAGUCGAGCGGACAAAUCGAAAGUUUGCUUUUGAUUCGUUAGCGGCGGACGGGUGAGUAACACGUGGACAACCUGCCCUGUAGACGGGUAUAUUACCGAGAAAUCGGUUCUUAUCCGGGAUGACAUGCAGUGUCGCGUGACGCUUCGUUGAAAUUCGGCGCUUGCUGUUGCUACAGGCUCGUCCCGCGGCGUUUUAGGUGGUGUGGGGGGUCAAGGCUCACCAAGGUGGCGAUGCGGAGCCGACGUCAGGGGGUGAUCGGCGACACUGGGACUGAGACGCAGCCCAGACUACUGCGGGAGGAAGCAGUAGAGAAUCUUACGCAAUGGAGGAAAGUCUGACGGAGCAACGCCGCGUGAGCGGAGACGGCGUCGGGGUCGUAAAGCUAUGUUGUUAGGGAAGAACCAGUAACGCAGUAACUGGCGUUACAGUGACGGUACCUAACGAGAAAGCCACGGCUAACUACGUG
rnacentral:rRNA from 1 species